rnacentral:lncRNA from 1 species
UUCUUUUGAUAAAAAAAAAGUGGAUUCUUAAAAUAAAUUUGGUAGCAAUAAUGAAGAGGAGGGCAAUUAAGUUGUGGGAGUAGGUAAAAAGUUAAUGAGUGAUUUUGAACAAGUGCAGGUCAACUGUAGGCGGUGAGGUUUGUACUGGGUGUAUAGACUGCACUCUGUUAAUUAUUGUUUUUAAUAAUCUACAUAGAUCUUAGAAACCCUAAUACAAUUACUCGCUAACACAAAUUAAAGCACUAUCAAGUAACUAAUUAUGUGGGCAUGGUAUAACUUAUAGAAAUAUUU